rnacentral:tRNA from 1 species
AGAUAAUGAAGUAAAAAUUACAUUUAGUUUCGACCUAAAAUAUGGGAUUUAAAAUUUCCCCUUAUCUA